rnacentral:rRNA from 1 species
CGGACGGGUGAGUAACACGUGGAUAACCUACCUAUAAGACUGGGAUAACUUCGGGAAACCGGAGCUAAUACCGGAUAAUAUAUUGAACCGCAUGGUUCAAUAGUGAAAGACGGUUUUGCUGUCACUUAUAGAUGGAUCCGCGCCGCAUUAGCUAGUUGGUAAGGUAACGGCUUACCAAGGCAACGAUGCAUAGCCGACCUGAGAGGGUGAUCGGCCACACUGGAACUGAGACACGGUCCAG